UGUCCAGUAGCUCAGUGGUAGAGCGAUUGACUGUUAAUCAAUGGGUCGCAGGUUCGAUCCCUGCCUGGACAGCCA
rnacentral:tRNA from 1 species